UCUUCAUGUAUCUGUUUUUCAAAAAAUACCCAAGUGUCAAAUUUUAAAAUAUAUAUAUAUAAUUACAAUAUUUCAUUGUAAUUUCUUUAUAAGAAAUAUAUUUCUUUCUUUAAAAAAAGUUUUACAAAAAAGAAUUUUUCUUUUUUGUAGAAAAUUUCAACGUAGGAAAAUACAGAUAGAAAGAAAACUUCAAGGAUUUAUUAACAACAAGCCAGUGAAAAAGUACAAGAAAAAAUCAAUAUAUAUUAAAGGAGAAUUCACCAUCAUCGAACGUACUCAUACAAUUACGCACAUUCUACCUCUACAACUUUAUUAUAUAUAUAUAUAUAUAUAUAUAUAUAUAUAUUAAAUUAAUUUGUCAUGUAAAUAUUCU